rnacentral:lncRNA from 1 species
UUCACAAAUUUUGAAUUUUUGCAAAACUGCGUCGCUUUUUUCGAUUUUACAGAUUCGGUUUGAAUUUUUAGUAAACUUACUAAAAUACUCUUAUACCUUUUUCUCUUCUGUUUUUUUUUUUUUUUUUUUUUUUUUUUUUUUUUUCCUCGCGUUCUCUUAUUUUUCUCGCCGAAGAAGGCGACGGAGGCAAAGGCCGAAACGGCCCCCAUCGUCUCUGCACCUCACGCCCUCACCCUCGCCCGCGCAUCCCUCGCCCUACUCGUCUCUGAUUCCGCCGAGGCCGCGCUGCGACCCUCUUUUCUUUUUCUUUUGUUUUUCUCUCUCAGACCCUCCUCCACCGUCUCUGCGAUGAUAACGAGAAUGGUAACGCGUCAUCUUCCUCUGCCUUUAUCCUCUACCUCCACUGCAGCGAAUUUUGCACCCACCAAACCUACUUUUGGGAACUGCGUUUCCAUCACCGCCGCCGACGAUAAAGAGAAUGCACUUCUCGGAAUUGAAAAGCUCGUCGGCGAAGGAAGGGGCACGCGGCCCACCCGCCUAUCUCUAAAGGCGGCAGCGAGCGUGGCCUCGACGGUGUCGGAAGCGAGAAGGGUAAGAAAUGCACGGUAGCAUCUCUAGAUUAGCACUUUUGUUUGUUUACAAAAAAAAAAAAAAAUUAAAAGGCAAAAAACUAGAGAAUAAUAGAGAAUGAAUUUGCACUGUUAAGAUUAAAUUGCACUGUUUUAAAAGAACGUUGUACUAUUAUGAACGUAAGUUGUACUCUUUUAAAUGUAACUGUAUCAUUUCAGAUGAAAGGUACACUUUUUAAACAAAAGUCACACUCUUUGAGAAAUAUUUAUACUAUUUUUCUUCUUGUUGUACUUUUUGAUGUAUAAAGUUACACUUUUUAAACAAAAAUUACANAUAUAUAUAUUUUUAUAUAUAUAUAUAUAUAUAUAUAUAUAUAUAUAUAUAUAUAUAUAUAUAUAUAUAUAU